rnacentral:lncRNA from 1 species
AUGUCCUGGAAAUACACAAAAAACACCCCAAAAAAAUUCCUGAAAACACACAAAAAACACCCCAAAAACACCCUGAAAACACCCCAAAAAACACCCCAAAAACACCCUGAAAACACCCCAAAAAACAUCCUGAAAACACCCCAAAAAACACCCAAAAAACAUCCUGAAAAUACACCAAAACACACCCCAAAAACACCCCAAAAAACAUCCUGGAAACACCCCAAAAACACCCCAAAAAACCACCACAAAAGCUACCCAAAAACACCCCAAAAACCAUCUCGAAAACACCCCAAAAACACACCAAAAACUACACAAAAAACACCCCAAAAACUCCAGAAAAGCACCCAAGAAACGCCCCAAAAACACCCUAAAAACUACUCAAAAACACCCCAAAAAACACCCCAGAAACUCCAGAAAAACACCCUAAAAACACCUCAAAAACACCCCAAAACCUCCCCAAAACCACCCCAAAAACUCCAGAAAAACACCCAAAAAACCCACCCUGGUUUUUUAGAGGAUUUCAGGUGUUUUUCCAGGGUUUUGGGGUGUUUUUGCGGUGUUUUUUCGGGUGUUUUUGGGGUUUUUCGGGUGUUUUUGAGGUGGUUUUUGUUGUGGAUUUUGGGUGGGUUUGGGUUGUUUUUUGGAGCGUUUUUCUGGAGUUUUUGGGGUGUUUUCUUGGGUGUUUUUUGGGUGUUUUUCGUGGUGUUUCUGGGAUGGUUUUGGGUGUUUUUUGAGUGUUUUUUUGCGUUUUUUGGGGUGUUUUUCAGGGUGGUUUUUGUGAUGUUUUUGAGAUGUUUUUGGGUGUUUUUCAGGGUGUUUUUGGGGUGUUCUGAGUGCGGUUUCUGGGAUGUUUUUGAGGUGAUUUUUGGGAGUUUUUGGGGUGUUCCUUGGGGUGGUUUUUGGAGUUUUUUGGGGUGUUUCUGUGUUGUUUUGGGGGUGUUCUUGGGGUGUUUUAUGGAGUUUUUUUGUUGUUUUUUUGUGUUGUUUUUGGGGUGUUUUAUGGAAUUUUUGGGGUGGUUUUUUUGGAUGUUUUUGGGGUGUUGCUGUCAGGUUCUUGGGGGGGUUUCCACACACCUGCCACGCCCUGUUGGUGCAGCCACGCCCCCAGGGCUGAUGCCCCGCCCCUGCCACACCCUGUUCUUCCUGCCACGCCCUGUUCUUCCUGCCACACCCUGUUCUUCCUGCCACGCCCCUGCCACGCCCUGUUCUUCCCAC